rnacentral:rRNA from 1 species
AAUUAUUAUUAGAUUUUUAAAUAAUUAUUCACGAAAUAAAUUGAGCUAAAUUUUUGGUAUUUUUGGAAAUUAUAACUAUAUGUUACAAAAUAUAUUAACUAAAUAGAUUUAGGGGUGAAAGGCCUAUCAAAUUUUAUGAUAUCUUGAAGUAUAUAAAAUAUAUUAAGUAUUUCUAAUUCAACUAUUGAAUGUUUAGGUUCAAUAGUAACAUUAUAUUUUUUAAAAAUUGUUCAAUUUUUUUAAGUAAAAUUGAGUUAGAGCAUAAAAUAUACAUCAAAUUUUUAUUAUAUGAAUAUAAAUAUACUACGGUUAUUAAUAAAUAUAAUCAUAUAUAAUGUAAUUAUUAGUAAUAGUUUAUUAAACUAUAUAAAGGAAUUCGGCAAGAAAAUUUUUCACCUGUUUAUCAAAAACAUAGCUUAUUGAAUAUCAUAAUAAGUAACCCCUGCUCAAUGGAAAUCUAAAUAGCCGCAGUACCUUGACUGUGCAAAGGUAGCAUAAUCAAUUGGCUUAUAAUUGAAGUCUGGAAUGAAUGGGUAAUCUGGAAAAUAACUGUCUUUAUUUGUAGUAUUUUGAAUUUACUUAUAAAGUGAAAAUACUUUAAUAUAAAUAUAAGACGAGAAGACCCUAGAAAUUUUUUGUUAAUAACUUUUGUUGGGGCGACAGGGUAACAUAUAAACUUACUUACAUUUAUAUAAAUCUUAUAAGGUACGUAACUAAAUUACUCUAGGGAUAACAGCAUAAUAUAUAAAAGUUUAUGACCUCGAUGUUGGACUAGGUAAUUAAAUAUUUAAAAGAUAUCUUAAUUUGCUCUGUUCGAGCAGUACCACCUACAU